rnacentral:rRNA from 1 species
CCUACGGAGGCAGCAGUGGGGAAUAUUGGACAAUGGGCGAAAGCCUGAUCCAGCCAUGCCGCGUGUGUGAAGAAGGCCUUCGGGUUGUAAAGCACUUUCAGUGGGGAAGAAAGCCUUGGGGCUAAUACCCUCGAGGAAGGACAUCACCCACAGAAGAAGCACCGGCUAACUCCGUGCCAGCAGCCGCGGUAAUACGGAGGGUGCGAGCGUUAAUAGGAAUUACUGGGCGUAAAGCGCGCGUAGGCGGUCUGAUAAGCCGGUUGUGAAAGCCCCGGGCUCAACCUGGGAACGGCAUCCGGAACUGUCAGGCUAGAGUGCAGGAGAGGAAGGUAGAAUUCCCGGUGUAGCGGUGAAAUGCGUAGAGAUCGGGAGGAAUACCAGUGGCGAAGGCGGCCUUCUGGACUGACACUGACGCUGAGGUGCGAAAGCGUGGGUAGCAAACAGGAUUAGAUACCCUGGUAGUC